GUCAGCAUGGCAUAGUGGCUUGAGUGUUGGACUACAAAUCUGGAGAUCAGGGUUUGAUUCCCUGCUGAAG